UAGACCAGGACUGAGCAGCUCCUUUCCUCUGCUCUCCUGCCGUCCUCCCCACUCAUCCUCUCUCACCUCUCAGUCUCCUCGCUUCCUUGGGCUUCCUUUAGAUUCACAACUGGCCCAGCCAGAAUGAGCCUCCGCCAAGUGCUUGCUGUGGCCGCCCUCUGGGCCGUUGGCCAAGCAGACAUAGAACUGAAGCAGCCUCAAGUCUCCAUCACCAGCCAGGUGGGAACAGCGGCCCAGGUGACGUGUCAAGUGGCCGACACGUGGAACUUUGCUGGUCAGUACAUACACUGGUACCAACAGAAGCCAAACCAGCCUUUGCAACACCUGCUCUUUGUCCGAUCAACCGGUAUACCCGAGGAAGUAUCCUUAGGUAAUGUAAGGAACAAAUUUGUGGCAGAAGAGAAUGAAGACAAAAGAACAUCAGACCUAACAAUAAACUCCCUAACCCUUGAAGAUGAGGGCACCUACUACUGUGCAUAUUGGCAGGACCACAGCCAUCAACUCUCAAUAACAAGACGUACAAGAAUCCCGCCCUCCUCAGUCUCCCCCCACAUCCUCUUCCCAGGCUGCCGCCUCCUCCUCUCUGGCUCCCAUCCCCAGUCUGCCUGCAGCACUUCCUGCAUGUCUUCUCAAGGGCACGUGGCCUGUGUCUAUACUAUAUCACUGUCUUGCUCUAAUUCAUCCACAUCCCAAACUCCCUCCCUCACCACCAUAAUUUACAUCUCUACAGACCCGUAAGCUUUCUGUUGCUUUUAUAAGUUGGACAAGACAGCUCCUGGGCUUCUUCCAAUUCUCAAACUCUGUCAUUCUGCUUUUUGGCAGCGAGCAUUACAUUAUAAUAUGGGGUCUC